CUUUUUUUUUUUUCCCCCCCUUUCUUUCUUUUUCUUUUUUUUUUUAAAGCGGGGAAAUCAUAUCCCCUGGAAGAGCAGCCUUCCAAAGCAUAGGCCUUAGACCGAGGGAUAGAUGGUCUCUCACCAUGGACAGCCUCAAUUUGAACACAGUCUGGGUAGGAUAUGGAAGAAUGACCCAUGCCCUGGUUGUCCUGCUCCAGGAUGCUUUUUCUAAGCUCCCUAGUUAGGCCCUGUCAGAGGCCUGCCCCUCCCCAACACAGCUUCAUACUAAGUCGCACCACCCUUGCUUCCUGAGCUGUUUCUCCUUUUCCUCACCCUGGGAGACUCCAAAGCCAUAAUUUCUGCAAGAGGAAAAGAGCGAAUCCUAAAGACAACCCUUGUAGGGGCGCCUUUCUAACCUGCCUGGGUUGCAGAGUGAGCUCAAAGCCAGCCUGAGUAAUUUAUCGAGACGCUGUUUCAAAAUAAAGGCAGUUCAAAGUACCACGAAGAUAAAAUGUGUGUAGGGAGACCUUUGCUCACACAGGAGGUGGCUCACCGGAAGACCUGAGGGUCUUUGGAGAAAUCUAAGGCAAUACGGUGGGUGAAGGCAGAGUGUUACCCUGGAUAAAGGUCUCACCGAAGUAAGCAGGAGGUGAGUUGAGCCUAGGAAAGGAUGAGAAGUGUGUCAGGAGAGGAGCACGUUUACAAAUCUACAAAAUCUGCACACAGGAGCACGUUGAGUAUGGCUUUGGGAAGAGAUAGGAAGAUAGGAGAGGGUUGAAAUGGAAUAAGAAAGAAAUGCCCUCAUUAGCCACACAAAGAAAUUCAAGACAAGAGUUCCGCUUUGGUAAGAUCUCAGGACAGCAGGACAGUCUCUGGAUCUGGAGGGCAGUCAGUUCUAGAAAGUGUUCCAAAGAGAAGUAAGCCGGACUGGAUUCUCUCUUCCAGGAUCUGGGAACUGCCUUCUGGGAAGUCUUGUUUUCCGAGCCCAGAAAAUUAGCGUUCCAGCAGGAGGCAGCAGCGAGCUGUGCAGGGCUGGCCGCAGGAAGGGAGAAAGCAAGGUGCUAAAAAGGCCAGGCCUCUGGUAGCGAUCCCUAGCCGGAAACUGGGGAAGUAGGGCCUGCUGGCUUGCUCACCCUAACUCCCUCUCAGCUGCUUCUAGCAUGGAUCUUUCCCUAAUGUAAAACUGUAGAGCUUGCCUCCCUAAGUUCCUUGCUUUUGUGGGCACCUUUAUCUGAAAGUUAGGGAGGGUGGGGUGCUGCUUCUUGUCCAAGGCUUGAUUUCUAUAGUUACUGACCAGGUUUUCUCCUGAGGACACAUUGAUUCCCCCUUUAAAGGCUGGUCAGGAGCAAAGGCAACACCUCCCCCAAAUGAUAGCUACAGGCUACUUCCUUCUCCCCAACGACACAUCUUCCCUGCUUUUUAGAAUUGCAGCUAAUUGAUUAUUUUUUUGGGGGGGGGAUGGAAACCACAAACCUUUUAUACAAUACGAAGCUUUGCUUUUUAUUUUUUAUUUUUAAUUUUCCUUUAUUUUUCUUGGUCCCCUUCCCUCCUCCGAUUGAAGACAGAUAAGCUGAGGAGGGUGGGCAGAUGCAGGAUGAGGUCCCCUGUGCUGAUGGGCUAUCACUGUG
ensembl:lncRNA